UCCACUUAUUGAUACAGAUGCCAAAUACUACAUCAAGUCAUUUCAAGUACUCAAUUUUAGAAGAAAGAAAGAGGUCCUAACUAAUAUCUACAACUGGAAAUCUAGCAACAGAAUAUGUAAGUAGUAAAGAGAAAGGGGAAGUUCAGCUUCAAGUAGCAUCUUCGUUUAACCAAACUUCAAAUCUUUUACAUGCUCAACAAUGCCUCAAUCAUGAACUACAGAAGUACCUCGAAACUUGAAAGAAAACAGGAGAGGGUAGUGAGUGUAUAAAGAAAUAGUAGCAGUAAAAAUUAGCAGCAGAACUCAACAGCAGCAAACAAAAUCCCAGAUUCAAUCAACUACAUGAGGAGAUCAACUUAAACGUCAAUGAAACAGUGACCUUCUCAAAACUUGGACCCCGGACUUUAAAGAAGAACGAAUUCAAGCCAUUUCACAUACUCAAUGAACCUAAAAUUGACUUGACAAUUUGGAAUUCAAAAAUCAAAAAUGGAAAAGCAAUGGAACAGUGAUUUUCCGUAAAUUUUAGCCAUUUUACCUUUUCUGAGUUUUUUAGCUUUUGUCCCCGUUAACUUCUUUAAAAAAGCUACAAGUAACUAUGACUUUAUAGGCAAGUCACUUGGGCAGCUCUAUGGGUUUAGUUAUUUCAUUUUAGUCCCUUUCGAAUUUUUUUU
rnacentral:lncRNA from 1 species